AUCAAGUUAGUUUAAUAAAAACAUUAGGAUGUGGGCCUGAGGAUAAAGUGUGGUCUUUACUUGAUU
rnacentral:tRNA from 1 species